rnacentral:rRNA from 1 species
AAUCAACGCUGGCGGCGUGCCUCAGACAUGCAAGUCGAACGAGAAAGUUCCCUUCGGGGAAUGAGUAAAGUGGCGCACGGGUGAGUAACACGUAGGUAAUCUACCUUCGGGUGGGGAAUAACCCAGGGAAACUUGGGCUAACACCGCAUAAUGCAGCGGCACCACAUGGUGACAGUUGUUAAAGCGGGGGAUUUUAGGACCUCGCGCCUGAAGAGGAGCCUGCGGCGGAUUAGCNGUUGGUAAGGUAACGGCUUACCAAGGCGACGAUCCGUAGCCGGCCUGAGAGGGCGGUCGGCCACACUGACACUGACAUACGGGUCAGACUCCUACGGGA